rnacentral:antisense_RNA from 1 species
CUUGACCGAGCCGAGCCACAGGGGGCGUUCGGCGUCGCGGUCCUGGCCGUAGGUGGCGAGGAGGGCCUGUGCCUC